rnacentral:rRNA from 1 species
UUAAUUUGAGAGUUUGAUCCUGGCUCAGGACGAACGCUGGCGGCGUGCCUAAUACAUGCAAGUCGAACGAACUCUGGUAUUGAUUGGUGCUUGCAUCAUGAUUUACAUUUGAGUGAGUGGCGAACUGGUGAGUAACACGUGGGAAACCUGCCCAGAAGCGGGGGAUAACACCUGGAAACAGAUGCUAAUACCGCAUAACAACUUGGACCGCAUGGUCCGAGUUUGAAAGAUGGCUUCGGCUAUCACUUUUGGAUGGUCCCGCGGCGUAUUAGCUAGAUGGUGGGGUAACGGCUCACCAUGGCAAUGAUACGUAGCCGACCUGAGAGGGUAAUCGGCCACAUUGGGACUGAGACACGGCCCAAACUCCUACGGGAGGCAGCAGUAGGGAAUCUUCCACAAUGGACGAAAGUCUGAUGGAGCAACGCCGCGUGAGUGAAGAAGGGUUUCGGCUCGUAAAACUCUGUUGUUAAAGAAGAACAUAUCUGAGAGUAACUGUUCAGG